GUCAAGGUUAGAGUCUCGCCCAGGAAUGGCUGUCACCCCGGUGUGCUGGAGUUCUUGGAGAGGAGCUGCUAGCUUCAUUUGCUGGCUGUGUUCGAGCCAGUCACUAGGGAAGGGACAGGU
rnacentral:snoRNA from 1 species